GUCUAGCUAGCUUGGAGGUUAGAGCGUCUGCCUUGUAAGCGCUGGGUCGUGGGUUAGAUUCCCGCCCGGGGCG
rfam:Asian citrus Psyllid, Diaphorina citri - Florida Strain, whole genome shotgun sequence.